AGGGGUAUUAUUAAUGCUACAAUUAAUCUCAUUUUGAAUUAAUUUCCUUCAACCUGGAACGGAAAAUGGAGGCUGCAGGAUGUAUCUGUAGAGUGUUAACCCUGAAUUUAUGCCCAAGACAUGCAAUUUAUUUCUAUAUAUGCAUGAAAUGUAUUAUGAAUUUCUUAAACAUAUGGUGUUAGAAUGUCACAAAAAGCCAAAAAUCCAAAU
rnacentral:misc_RNA from 1 species